rnacentral:rRNA from 1 species
CGAGAAUCUUCGGCAAUGGGCGCAAGCCUGACCGAGCGACGCCGCGUGGAGGACGAAGGCCUUCGGGUUGUAAACUCCUGUCGAGGGGGAAGAAGGCCCCGAAAGGGGCUUGACUGAUCCCUGGAGGAAGCACGGGCUAAGUUCGUGCCAGCAGCCGCGGUAAGACGAACCGUGCGAACGUUAUUCGGAAUCACUGGGCUUAAAGCGCGUGUAGGCGGGACGGCACGUCGGUCGCUGAAAGCCCCCGGCUCAACCGGGGAAGGGGCGCCGAUACGACCGACCUGGAGGGACGUAGGGGGACCUGGAACUUCCGGUGGAGCGGUGAAAUGCGUUGAGAUCGGAAGGAACGCCCGUGGCGAAAGCGAGGUCCUGGACGUUUACUGACGCUGAGACGCGAAAGCCAGGGGAGCGAAC